UGUUUUAUAAUGUCUGUACAGCAAUGUGGUGCAACUCCUUGUUGUUUGAAUAGUGCUUUAGAAAAGAAAAAAAAAAAUAAAUGAAACAUUUAUUUGACACACUCUUCACAGACAGCAUCAAAGCUAGACUGGAGGAUCCAAGAGACAAAUGCGCUGGAAAAGCGUCACUGUUUUACGCUGGGAAAUGGACACCCAUCUGUAAAGACAGUCUUGAUACAAAUCUUAAAAAUGUAAUCUGCAAGGAACUAUCUUGUGGCGAGAGCAUAAAUGACCAACAUGAUUGGAUUUUGAAUGAAGAAUCUAAAUCUACAGGACUAUCAAGAAUUAAAUGUCUGGAUAAUGCCAACUCUGUUUCCAAAUGUGACCUCAAAGAGGUUUCAGAGAAAGAAUGUAUUGUUGGCUAUCUGAAAUGCUCAGCAUGGAAACGAUUGCUCCUCUAUAAUAAGGAAGGAGAAUGCAGUGGUCCAGUAUAUGGUCUGCGAGAUAGGAAAACACCCACUCCAGUCAGCAUAAGUGGAUGGGGCAACGAGGAAGGACAAAAGCUGUGCGAGUAUCUACAGUGUGGAAAACACAUACCACACAUCUCUAAUUACACAAACACAAACACAAAAGAGUGGUGGAACAAUACCUAUAAUUGCUCAGGGAAAGAGAAUAUUUGGGAAUGCGAGAGCAAUGAUCAGCCCGUCCAGAAUCAACAGCAGUUAAACAUCAAGUGUGACCGUAGGAAUGAUCUCUUUCUUCCUUUUGUUAGCAUCCCUAACACUUGCCAAGUUGCCAAGACAAUAUUUAUUAUUUUCAUUGUUUAACUUGUACUCUAUUAAACCAUUAAAAAAAAAAAAAAAAAUGCAAAAAUGCACCUCAGGGCAACAAAAAUCCCACAUACACAUAUAUUUUAAUAAUAAGUUGAGUAGUGGAGAAACACUUAUUUAUUUAUUUGUUGCAAAUUAAUUAUACAUUAAUAUGGAUAUAUAUCAAAGAAGCUUUACUAGUUUUUGAAACUAAUAUAAAAAAAAACAAUAAAUUAUUAAAUAAAAAAAUCAUAUAAAUAAAUAUUUUUAUUCAAUAAAUUAUCUCUAAAUUAACAAAUUAUUUUUACAGAAACAUUAAUAGAAAAACACGUCUUUUCCCAGAAUGUUAAAAUUGACCCUUACAACAUGGCAGCAUUUUACCAAUUUAUUUGAAUAUCCUUGGUUGCAGUUCAGUCAUUCUCUUUUAAUAUCCUGAAGUGAAACAAACAGGAGUCAGUUCUUAAAUGAUGAAUUUUCUCAACCCUGCACAAAGAGUAACACUUCACUCUCAUAUUACAGAAAUAUCUGAUUGUCUGAUUUCUCUCCUCUCCAGAUAAACCUCCAAAAAUUAGGCUCUCAAACAACUGCACAGGCGAGGUGCUCAUAGAUGAAGAGCAUGUUUGUGCAUCCCGGUGGGAUGCUGGGAUGUCCAACAAGUUAUGUGACAGCCUCAAUUGUGGUAAGGCACUCUACAGCUGGACCACAGAGUCCAGAGAAAAAAAUACUUGGCAUUUCAGCUGCACAGGCAACGAGACAUUGAUGUGGCAGUGUGGCUCUAGAAAAGACAGCUGUGAGAACAUCCUCUCUGUGGCCUGCAAAGGUGAGUCAUACACGUAUUUCUGGACUGUAAUUAAGACUGUUACUGUAGUUAAGUUAAGUUUUGUGGAUGUUAGUCCAUUUCAUGUUUGCUCACACGUGUCCUCCUAGUUCAUGUUUGCAGAUAGAUGCACGUUAUAAAAUAUUAAAAACAUUAGUCAUAUUAGUCAUAUAUCACAUUAGUCAUAAUCAGUGCUUUACUUUCAGUGACAGAAGUUAUAUUUGUAUUGCAGAUAGUGUUGAAUUCAACUCUACUGAGAAGUGUGGCGGGAAGCUUGUGAUCAAGUAUCAGGGGCGAUGGGAAUAUGUCUGUGGAAAACUGACUCCGAAUGAUAACAAGAAGUUUUGUGAUGUGCUUAAGUGCAAUGAUAGCCGAGAAUUGCUGGAAGAACAGAUAAUAGAAAAAGAAAUAAAGGUUAAAAUUAAUUGCCCAGAAACCCAUUACAACAUUUUUCAGUGCAUGCACCAUCUCAAUAACGAUAAAUGCAGUCAUGGACCUGCUGAAAUCAAAUGUGGUAAGGUAAAAAAAAAAACACAGAUGCCAUACACUUUAAUAUAGGAAAAUAUUUUUUAUUGUUCUGGGAUUUGUUUUGCUGCUGCUUGCCUUCUUGCAUGAUGUUAAGUAGCUGUGAGUUUACUUUAACAAAGUUUCGUUAACAUUCUAACCUGUGAAACUGUUUCAUUAAAACUGCAGGUGAUCCUUCAGAAAUUACUCCAACUGAAGGUUAUACUCAAAAAACUGCAGAUAAUACUCCAAAACCUGAAGGAUAUACUCCAAACCCUGCAGAUAAUACUCCAAAAGGAGGUAAUUCUUCAGUGGGUCUGAUAUUGGGUCUGUCAGGAGCUGUGCUGGGGUUGCUGAUUUUGUUUUUAAUGUGGAGAAAUCGGAAACGUCUACUUUUAGCCUGUGAGUAUCACUUGCACCAGAAAGAGAUUGUUCUGAUUCGCAGAUAAACAUUAUUUUUUCAUAAUGAAGUUACAGCGAUAUUUGAAAGGUCUUCAUGUUUUUAACCUGUUGGUGGCAGUGUUUCCCACUCCUUGUCUCUCUACACACACUACACAUCAAACAAUAACCUGUAGAAUUAAUAGAAGCAUACUUUUCUACCUGUUUCUGUUUUUGCAGUAAGAUAUUACAGAAGUAAAAAGGGCAAAGACGUCAACCCAGAUGUGAAUGAAAUGGAUAAGAUGGAUACAGAGGACAAAGGUAUACUGUAGAAUUUAAUUAUUAUUACUUUGAACAAUGUAAAUGUCAAGACAUAAGCAAAUGUUUUCAUUAAUUUCUAAAUGUUAUUAUUAUUAUUAUUAUUAUUAUUAUUAUUAUUAUUAUGUAUUUUACUGUUGUUAUCUAAUAAAGACAAAAUCAUUCACACAUAUAGAUAGAUAGAUAGAUAGAUAGAUAGAUAGAUAGAUAGAUAGAUAGAUAGAUAGAUAGAUAGAUAGAUAGAUAGAUAGAUAGAUAGAUAGAUAGAUAGAUAGAUAGAUAAACAGACAGAC
rnacentral:lncRNA from 1 species